GGGGAUAGCUCAAGUGGUAGAGCGCAUGCUUAGUAGGCAUGAGGUCUGGGGUUCAAUCCCCAGGACCUCCA
rnacentral:tRNA from 1 species